CUACGGGAGGCAGCAGUAAGGAAUUUUGGACAAUGGGCGCAAGCCUGAUCCAGCCAUGCCGCGUGCGGGAAGAAGGCCUUCGGGUUGUAAACCGCUUUUGUCAGGGAAGAAACGGUUCGGGCUAAUACCUCGAACUAAUGACGGUACCUGAAGAAUAAGCACCGGCUAACUACGUGCCAGCAGCCGCGGUAAUACGUAGGGUGCGAGCGUUAAUCGGAAUUACUGGGCGUAAAGCGUGCGCAGGCGGUUAUACAAGACAGAUGUGAAAUCCCCGGGCUCAACCUGGGAACUGCAUUUGUGACUGUAUGACUUGAGUACGGUAGAGGGGGAUGGAAUUCCGCGUGUAGCAGUGAAAUGCGUAGAUAUGCGGAGGAACACCGAUGGCGAAGGCAAUCCCCUGGACCUGUACUGACGCUCAUGCACGAAAGCGUGGGGAGCAAACAGGAUUAGAUACCCGAGUAGUCC
rnacentral:rRNA from 1 species